GUCCACGCCCUAAACGAUGACGACUAGUUGUUGGAGGAGUUAAAUCCUUUAGUAACGCAGCUAACGCGCGAAGUCGUCCGCCUGGGGAGUACGGUCGCAAGAUUAAAACUCAAAGGAAUUGACGGGGGCCCGCACAAGCGGUGGAUGAUGUGGUUUAAUUCGAUGCAACGCGAAAAACCUUACCUACCCUUGACAUGCCAGGAAUCCCGCAGAAAUGUGGGAGUGCCCGAAAGGGAACCUGGACACAGGUGCUGCAUGGCUGUCGU
rnacentral:rRNA from 1 species